rnacentral:rRNA from 1 species
GAUGAACGCUGGCGGCGUGCCUAAUACAUGCAAGUCGAGCGAACAGACGAGGAGCUUGCUCCUUUGACGUUAGCGGCGGACGGGUGAGUAACACGUGGGUAACCUACCUAUAAGACUGGGAUAACUUCGGGAAACCGGAGCUAAUACCGGAUAAUAUUUCGAACCGCAUGGUUCGAUAGUGAAAGAUGGCUUUGCUAUCACUUAUAGAUGGACCUGCGCCGUAUUAGCUAGUUGGUAAGGUAACGGCUUACCAAGGCAACGAUACGUAGCCGACCUGAGAGGGGGAUCGGCCACACUGGAACUGAGACACGGUCCAGACUCCUACGGGAGGCAGCAGUAGGGAAUCUUCCGCAAUGGGCGAAAGCCUGACGGAGCAACGCCGCGUGAGUGAUGAAGGUCUUCGGAUCGUAAAACUCUGUUAUUAGGGAAGGACAAACGUGUAAGUAACUGUGCACGUCUUGACGGUACCUAAUCAGAAAGCCACGGCUAACUACGUG